rnacentral:rRNA from 1 species
UGGGGAAUAUUGCACAAUGGACGGAAGUCUGAUGCAGCAACGCCGCGUGCGGGAUGACGGCCUUCGGGUUGUAAACCGCUUUUUCUCAUGACGAAGUUUUUUGACGGUAGUGGGGGAAGAAGCACCGGCUAACUACGUGCCAGCAGCCGCGGUGAUACGUAGGGUGCGAGCGUUGUCCGGAAUUAUUGGGCGUAAAGAGCUUGUAGGCGGUUUGUCGCGUCGAUAGUGCAAACUCAGUGCUUAACGCUGAGCCUGCUGUUGAUACGGGCAGACUAGAGGAAGGUAGGGGAGAAUGGAAUUCCCGGUGGAGCGGUGGAAUGCGCAGAUAUCGGGAGGAACACCGGUGGCGAAGGCGGUUCUCUGGGCCUUUCCUGACGCUGAGAAGCGAAAGCGUGGGGAGCGAACGGG